rnacentral:rRNA from 1 species
UACGGAGGGUGCAAGCGUUAUCCGGAUUUAUUGGGUUUAAAGGGUGCGUAGGCGGUCUGAUAAGUCAGUGGUGAAAAUCUGCAGCUCAACUGUAGACCUGCCAUUGAAACUGUGAGACUUGAGUAACCAUGAGGUAGGCGGAAUGUGUAGUGUAGCGGUGAAAUGCUUAGAUAUUACACAGAACACCGAUUGCGUAGGCAGCUUACUAGCGGUUUACUGACGCUGAUGCACGAAAGCGUGGGGAUCAAACAGG